rnacentral:rRNA from 1 species
AGUGAACGCUGGCGGUAGGCCUAACACAUGCAAGUCGAACGGCAGCACAGUAAGAGCUUGCUCUUACGGGUGGCGAGUGGCGGACGGGGGAGGAAUACAUCGGAAUCUACUUUUUCGUGGGGGAGAACGUAGGGAAACUUACGCUAAUACCGCAUACGACCUACGGGUGAAAGCAGGGGAUCUUCGGACCUUGCGCGAUUGAAUGAGCCGAUGUCGGAUUAGCUAGUUGGCGGGGUAAAGGCCCACCAAGGCGACGAUCCGUAGCUGGUCUGAGAGGAUGAUCAGCCACACUGGAACUGAGACACGGUCCAGACUCCUACGGGAGGCAGCAGUGGGGAAUAUUGGACAAUGGGCGCAAGCCUGAUCCAGCCAUACCGCGUGGGUGAAGAAGGCCUUCGGGUUGUAAAGCCCUUUUGUUGGGAAAGAAAAGCAGCAGGUUAAUACCCCGCUGUUCUGACGGUACCCACAGAAUAAGCACCGGCUAACUUCGUG